rnacentral:rRNA from 1 species
ACUCCUACGGGAGGCAGCAGUGGGGAAUAUUGCACAAUGGGCGCAAGCCUGAUGCAGCCAUGCCGCGUGUAUGAAGAAGGCCUUCGGGUUGUAAAGUACUUUCAGCAGUGAGGAAGGUGGGUAUGUUAAUAGCAUACUCAUUUGACGUUAGCUGCAGAAGAAGCACCGGCUAACUCCGUGCCAGCAGCCGCGGUAAUACGGAGGGUGCGAGCGUUAAUCGGAAUUACUGGGCGUAAAGCGCAUGCAGGUGGUUUGUUAAGUCAGAUGUGAAAGCCCGGGGCUCAACCUCGGAAUUGCAUUUGAAACUGGCAAACUAGAGUACUGUAGAGGGGGUAGAAUUUCAGGUGUAGCGGUGAAAUGCGUAGAGAUCUGAAGGAUACCGGUGGCGAAGCGGCCCCUGGACAGAUACUGACACUCAGAUGCGAAAGCGUGGGAGC